GGAGGGGUGGCAGAACGGCGAAUGCACCGGUCUUGAAAACCGGCGUCCUCACGGACAUGCGGGUUCGAAUCCCGCCCCCUCCG
rnacentral:tRNA from 1 species